rnacentral:rRNA from 1 species
UACGUAGGGUGCAAGCGUUAAUCGGAAUUACUGGGCGUAAAGCGUGCGCAGGCGGUUUUGUAAGUCUGUCGUGAAAUCCCCGGGCUCAACCUGGGAAUGGCGAUGGAGACUGCAAGGCUAGAGUUUGGCAGAGGGGGGUAGAAUUCCACGUGUAGCAGUGAAAUGCGUAGAUAUGUGGAGGAACACCGAUGGCGAAGGCAGGUCUCUGGGCUGAUACUGACGCUCAUGCACGAAAGCGUGGGGAGCAAACAGG